rnacentral:rRNA from 1 species
ACGUGGGCAACCUGCCUGUAAGACUGGGAUAACUCCGGGAAACCGGGGCUAAUACCGGAUAACUCUUUUCCUCACAUGAGGAAAAGCUGAAAGAUGGUUUCGGCUAUCACUUACAGAUGGGCCCGCGGCGCAUUAGCUAGUUGGUGAGGUAACGGCUCACCAAGGCCACGAUGCGUAGCCGACCUGAGAGGGUGAUCGGCCACACUGGGACUGAGACACGGCCCAGACUCCUACGGGAGGCAGCAGUAGGGAAUCUUCCGCAAUGGACGAAAGUCUGACGGAGCAACGCCGCGUGAGUGAUGAAGGUUUUCGGAUCGUAAAACUCUGUUGUCAGGGAAGAACAAGUACCGGAGUAACUGCCGGUACCUUGACGGUACCUGACCAGAAAGCCACGGCUAACUACGUGCCAGCAGCCGCGGUAAUACGUAGGUGGCAAGCGUUGUCCGGAAUUAUUGGGCGUAAAGCGCGCGCAGGCGGUUCCUUAAGUCUGAUGUGAAAGCCCCCGGCUCAACCGGGGAGG